AUAAUAACUAGUGAAUAAUCUUUGUUAUGUUUUAUCUCUUUUGUUAAAAUAUAUAUGUGACCUUCCUUCCUUCCUUCCUUUCUUCCUUCCUUCCUUUCUUCCUUCCUUCCUUCCUUCCUUCCUUCCUUCCUUCCUUCCUUCUUUCUGUCUUUCACUCAGGCUGGAAUACAGUAGUGUGAUCAUAAUUUAUUCAGCCUCGAACUUGUGGUCUCAAGCAAUCAUCCUGCCUCAGCCUUUGACUAACUGGGACUACAGAUGUGUACCACCAUACCAUGUGACAAUAUUGACAUGGUCCCUGUCACCAUCCACCUCGACUUCAUGUAUCUUCUGCUUCUACCCGUGUAACAAGUACAUAUUGACUAGUACUUAAAACAACCUCAAAAUACGUGUAUUUUCUCAAAAAUAACUGCAAGAGUAAUGGGCAUUGAGAUAGUAAGGUUCUUAUUCCUCUUUAUUUAAAUCUGUAAAGCAAAGUGGCAAAUUAAAACUGAGAUACUAUUAUAUUCAAUUCAUAACAUAAUUUGAUACAAAUGAAAACUUUUUUUACAAGGUAACAAAGUAACUGAAAAUGAGUAGAUCCAGCGCAAGUGAGACAAUGUAACCAUCUUGAGGCAUUAACCUAGGAGGCCACUGUUGUGAAAACAGAAAAUGUGAGGAACACGAGGAUUGACUUAACUAUGGGGCUGCAAACUUAAUAUUUUAAGUCAUGUUACUCAUACACUAAGUAUUGAGGUAUUUUUAUGUUUUUUCAAAACUAAAUAAAUUCACUGAAACUUAAUCAGCCUGAAUAGCCAGAAUGUUUUAAAUAGAGCAUUGUAAAUUUUGAGACAUCAUUAUUUCUACUUUUUUUUUUUUUUUUUUUGCUAGGGUCCCAAGUUUUGCUAUAUUCAGGCUCAUGGUACAGUAGUUUUGUUGUGAGUUUACAUUCCUAAUUAUUGUGUGUUAUCAUGAUGCGUAUUAUUCCACUCAUGAUUUUCCCUAUCCUCCUCCUCUUCAGCUAUUUUUCUCUCCUAAUAUCAUUAAAAAGCAAAAAUUAAACAAUUGAACAUAUAAUAAUAAUUAAUGCAUCCAUUACUAAUAACUCCAUCAUCAUCCAAACCAU
rnacentral:lncRNA from 1 species